rnacentral:rRNA from 1 species
UGCUACACAUGCAGUCGAACGGUGAAGCAGAGCUUGCUCUGUGGAUCAGUGGCGAACGGGUGAGUAACACGUGAGCAACCUGCCCCUGACUCUGGGAUAAGCGCUGGAAACGGCGUCUAAUACUGGAUAUGAGCUGCGACCGCAUGGUCAGCAGUUGGAAAGAUUUUUCGGUCUGGGAUGGGCUCACGGCCUAUCAGCUUGUUGGUGAGGUAAUGGCUCACCAAGGCGUCGACGGGUAGCCGGCCUGAGAGGGUGACCGGCCACACUGGGACUGAGACACGGCCCAGACUCCUUACGGGAGGCAGCAGUGGGGGAAUAUUGCACAAUGGGCGAAAGCCUGAUGCAGCAACGCCGCGUGAGGGGAUGACGGCCUUCGGGUUGUAAACCUCUCUUUAGCAGGGAAGAAGCGAAAGUGACGGUACCUGCAGAAAAAGCGCCGGCUAACUACGUGCCAGCAGCCGCGGUAAUACGUAGGGCGCAAGCGUUAUCCGGAAUUAUUGGGCGUAAAGAGCUCGUAGGCGGUUUGUCGCGUCUGCUGUGAAAUCCCGAGGCUCAACCUCGGGUCUGCAGUGGGUACGGGCAGACUAGAGUGCGGUAGGGGAGAUUGGAAUUCCUGGUGUAGCGGUGGAAUGCGCAGAUAUCAGGAGGAACACCGAUGGCGAAGGCAGAUCUCUGGGCCGUUACUGACGCUGAGGAGCGAAAGGGUGGGGAGCAAACAGGCUUAGAUACCCUGGUAGUCCACCCCGUAAACGUUGGGAACUAGUUGUGGGGUCCAUUCCACGGAUUCCGUGACGCAGCUAACGCAUUAAGUUCCCCGCCUGGGGAGUACGGCCGCAAGGCUAAAACUCAAAGGAAUUGACGGGGACCCGCACAAGCGGCGGAGCAUGCGGAUUAAUUCGAUGCAACGCGAAGAACCUUACCAAGGCUUGACAUAUACGAGAACGGGCCAGAAAUGGUCAACUCUUUGGACACUCGUAAACAGGUGGUGCAUGGUUGUCGUCAGCUCGUGUCGUGAGAUGUUGGGUUAAGUUCCCGCAACGAGCGCAACCCUCGUUCUAUGUUGCCAGCACGUAAUGGUGGGAACUCAUGGGAUACUGCCGGGGUCAACUCGGAGGAAGGUGGGGAUGACGUCAAAUCAUCAUGCCCCUUAUGUCUUGGGCUUCACGCAUGCUACAAUGGCCGGUACAAAGGGCUGCAAUACCGUGAGGUGGAGCGAAUCCCAAAAAGCCGGUCCCAGUUCGGAUUGAGGUCUGCAACUCGACCUCAUGAAGUCGGAGUCGCUAGUAAUCGCAGAUCAGCAACGCUGCGGUGAAUACGUUCCCGGGUCUUGUACACACCGCCCGUCAAGUCAUGAAAGUCGGUAACACCUGAAGCCGGUGGCCCAACCCUUGUGGAGGAGCCGUCGAAGGUGA